rnacentral:miRNA from 1 species
GGAUCUCACUAUGUAGUUCAGGCUGGCCUUGAACUCACUAUGUAGCCCAGGCUGGCUUCGAACUCACUUCGAUCCUCCUGCCUCUGCCUCCUGAGUCCUGGGAUUCCAGGCAUGCGCUACCAUGCCCG